rnacentral:rRNA from 1 species
GACGAACGCUGGCGGCGUGCUUAACACAUGCAAGUCGAGCGGAGCGGCGAACGGGUGGGUAAGGCGUGAGUAACUGCCCCCCUCCCUGGGAUAACAGUUGGAAACGGCUGCUAAUACCGGAUACUGGGGGAUGACUCGCGGCCGAUCAGCUUGUUGGUGGGGUAGUGGCCGAACACGGCUACGACGGGGAGCCGGACUGGGAGGGCUACCAGCCACAAUGGGCUGAGAUACGGCCCAAACGCCUACGGGGGGCAGCAGUGGGGAAUAUUGCACAAUGGGGGAAACCCUGAUGCAGCAGCGCCGCGGGCGGGAUGACGUCCUUCGGGUUGUAAACCGCUUUCAGCCAUGACGCGGUAGUGGCAGAAGAAGCACCGGCUAACUACGUGCCAGCAGCCGCGGUAAUUC